rnacentral:lncRNA from 1 species
UAAUGAGUUUCAAAUACCAACACUUCAAUCAAAACAAGCAUGAAGCAAUAUGAAUAGGUGGUAUCUCGCUAGCUCUUUCUGAGACCGCAAAACAUAAAUGCACGGCACUUUCAAAGAUCAAGGGCUGACUAAACAUUGUAAUUCAUAGCAACAAAGAUCCAGUCAUAGUCAUACUCAAUAUAAAUCAAAAGCAAAGCAUAAAGAUGACAGAGGUUCUCUCUAAUUGGUGCUUAUAUAAGAGGAGGAUGACUCAACAGGAAAAUAAAUAGACAGGCCCUUCGCAGAGGGAAGCAUUAAUUUGCAGAGGUGCCAGAGCUCAAGCUUUGAAAACAGAGAUAAUAAUUUUGGGUGGCAUGCUUUCAUUGUCAACGCAAUGACCAAGAGUUCUCAAUAUCUUCCAUGCUACUCAUGCUAUAGGCGGUUCCCAAACAGAAAAGUAAAGUUUUAACUCCUCCACCACCAAUCAAUCACACUCCACGGCUAGCCGAAUCCUCGGGUACCGACCAUACUAACAUCAAUCCGGGGGGGUCUUGUUUUACAGUUAUGUUUUCGAUUUAAGCGUUGAACUGGGCAUUCCAAUUACCGGCCCCUUUCUCGUGAAUGACAGUGAAUAAACACAUGUCGAGGAUAACACUCCUAGCAUGGAAGAUACCAAUAGCCCCCUGUCACCACAUGAGCGGUUCGGGUAUGCAAAACAAAUUAUUUCUUGAAGGUUUAGAGAGUGGCACAUGCAAAUUUACUUGGAACGACAGGUAGAUACCGCAAAUAGGUAGGUAUGGUGGACUCUCAUGGAAAAACUUUUGGGUUUAUGGAAGUGGAUGCACAAGCAGUAUUCCGCUUAGUACAAGUGAAGGCUAGCAAAAGACUGGGAAGCGACCAACUAGAGAGCGACAACAGUCAUCAAGAUGCAAUGAGUUUGACUAACAUUGAAUGCAAGCAUGAACAGGGUAUAAAUCACCAUGAACACGAACAUCAUAGAGGCUAUGUUGAUUUUGUUUCAACUACAUGCAUGAACAUGCGCCAAGUCAAGCCACUUGAAACAUUCAAAGGAGAAUACCAUCCUAAUCAUAGUCAUUUCAAAAUCUAUGUUGGCAUUCAAGACAAACCAUUAUAAGCUCUCAGCUAAAUAAGCAUGGCAUCAGAAACUAUGAUCUCUAAGUUGUCAUUGCAAACAUGGUUCUCUCACAACAAAGCUAAAUCUGGGUCGACAAGCUAGUCAUAUUUACAAAAACAAAAUAGAUAGAGUUCAUACCAGC